rnacentral:ncRNA from 1 species
UUUUUUAUAUGGAAUAACUAUAGGAUAGGACGCAAAGUCAUGGGUCUAAAGUGCUUCUGUGCCAGGACCGCCAGGCUACCGGC